rnacentral:rRNA from 1 species
UACGGGGGGAGCAAGCGUUGUUCGGAUUUACUGGGCGUAAAGGGCGCGUAGGCGGUCAGUGCAAGUCAGUUGUGAAAUCUCCGGGCUUAACUCGGAAAGGUCAACUGAUACUGCUCGACUAGAGUGCGGAAGGGGCAACUGGAAUUCUUGGUGUAGCGGUGAAAUGCGUAGAUAUCGGGAGGAACACCAGUGGCGAAGGCGACUACCUGGCCUGUUCUUGACGCUGAGGCGCGAAAGCUAGGGGAGCAAACGGG